CGCAGCCUAGUCAAAUUUGGUGCCUGCCUCUGCCGUGGUGGGGACCGGCCCGAGGGCUGCCAC
rnacentral:snoRNA from 1 species